UUACAGUUGUAUUAGUUAUAGAUCCCAGAGCACAGUCUGGAAAUGGGAGUGUGGCAACACAGCAUCCAGAGAUGCCAAAUCCAAGAUCAGGCUCCUGUCCAGCUGCUGAAGAGGCUCCUCCAUCAGACCAUUCCUCACUUUCCUCCUCGCUUUUUCCACACCCACCAAAGUGAGAAGUGAAUGUUCCAUCACUGUCAUGGACUCACAACUUGUGGCCACACCACUGUAACAGGAACAGGAUAAGGGAUUUGUACUUAUCUGGCCAAGCUUUUCCAUUCGGAAGCAAGAGGAAUCAGCUGGAAAUUCAAACAACAGACCCAAAGCAAACCACAAAUGAGUCCAGCCCAAUGGAAGCACCUGCAGUGAUUUAACAUAAAAAUCUU